rnacentral:rRNA from 1 species
UACGUAGGGUGCGAGCGUUAAUCGGAAUUACUGGGCGUAAAGCGUGCGCAGGCGGUUCUGAAAGUCAGCUGUGAAAGCCCCGGGCUUAACCUGGGAAUGGCGGUUGAAACUACAGGACUAGAAUCUGGCAGAGGGGGGUGGAAUUCCACGUGUAGCGGUGAAAUGCGUAGAGAUGUGGAGGAACACCAAUGGCGAAGGCAGCCUUCUGGGCCAACACUGACGCUCAUGCACGAAAGCGUGGGGAGCAAACAGG